GAUGAACGCUAGCGGCAGGCCUAAUACAUGCAAGUCGAGGGGCAGCACGGGUAGCAAUACUUGGUGGCGACCGGCGCACGGGUGCGUAACACGUAUACAAUCUACCUUUAACAGGGGGAUAGCCCGGAGAAAUCCGGAUUAAUACCCCAUAAUAAAUUGACUGGCAUCAGUUGAUUUUGAAAGUUCCGACGGUUAGAGAUGAGUAUGCGACUGAUUAGCUAGAUGGUGAGGUAACGGCUCACCAUGGCGACGAUCAGUAGGGGAUCUGAGAGGAUUAACCCCCACACGGAUACUGAGACACGGAUCCGACUCCUACGGGAGGCAGCAGUAAGGAAUAUUGGACAAUGCCCGCAAGGGUGAUCCAGCCAUGCCGCGUGCAGGAAGACGGCCCUAUGGGUUGUAAACUGCUUUUACACCGGAGAAAACCUUCCCUCGUGAGGGGAGCUGAUAGUAUGGUGAGAAUAAGCAUCGGCUAACUUCGUGCCAGCAGCCGCGGUAACAC
rnacentral:rRNA from 1 species